rnacentral:ncRNA from 1 species
GGCUCGGGGCGUCGAUAAAGACUGAGAAGCACCCGUAUUACCUGAUCUGGAUAAUGCCAGCGUAGGGAAGUCGG